rnacentral:rRNA from 1 species
CCUACGGGUGGCAGCAGUGAGGAAUAUUGGUCAAUGGACGCGAGCCUGAACCAGCCAAGUAGCGUGCAGGAUGACUGCCCUACGGGUUGUAAACUUCUUUUAUAAAAGGAUAAAGUGAGGCACGCGUGCCUUUUUGUAAGUACUUUAUGAAUAAGGAUCGGCUAACUCCGUGCCAGCAGCCGCGGUAAUACGGAGGAUCCAAGCGUUAUCCGGAUUUAUUGGGUUUAAAGGGAGCGUAGAUGGUUUGUUAAGUCAGUUGUGAAAGUUUGUGGCUUAACCGUAAAAUUGCAAUUGAAACUGGCAGCCUUGAGUACAGGUGAGGUAGGCGGAAUUCGUGGUGUAGCGGUGAAAUGCUUAGAUAUCACGAAGAACUCCGAUGGCGAAGGCAGCCUACUAAACUGUCACUGACAUUGAGGCUCGAAAGUGUGGGUAUCAAACAGGAUUAGAUACCCGAGUAGUC